GCCAAAUAGGCUGAGGCUCUGCAGGUGGCGCGGCCGCUUCCAGCUUCCUCCUCCUGACUGGAAAAAUGACUGAUUCCUGAGCCUCACACCAGACUUGUCAUAGCAUGGCCUGUGUCCUGCCUUUCCUUAAUCCAGCCAAAGAAAUCUCACAGAAAGGCUAAAAUUGUUUCCUUGUGAGCCCAUCUCCAUCCUUAGACCAGUCUACUGUGGCCACCAGCAUGGGUUACUGUGACCUCCCAGAACAGAGUUGACCUCCAGAAGGGAGCGGGUUCUCAAAAGAAGAAUAGACAUUAAGUAGGACAGAUGUUGUUACAGAUACCAUGAGAGUGAGAUAGAUAAGAGAUGAAGGGACUGUUCAUGGGUGAACCUGUCCCAGUGGACCAAGCCAUCCAGAGUCUGCCUACAUCUCGGUGCCAGUCCCGCCUCCACCCACUGGAAGAGGAGAGCUAUCAGAGUAUUGGACCUGCUUGCACCCACCAGGACAUGGAGAGACCCCACCAGCACCAACUGGAAGAAGGGAUGGGAAGACGACAAUAUAAGAACACAUUCAACAACAGAAAGACUAAUAUGAUGCCACCAGAGUCCAGAGACUCAACACCAACAAGACCUGAGCAUCCCAACACAGAUGAAGCAGAAGAGAAUUACCUUAAAAACAACUUUAUGGAGAUGAUAGAGAUCCUUAAAGAGUAAAUGAGAAAAUCCCUUGAAGAAAUGGAAGAAAAAACAAAAACAUUCAAGAAACUGAGGAAAAGACAACCCCCCCAAAUGCAAGAAAUAAACAAAUCUCUUAAAGAAAACAAGGAGAACCAAGAAAAAACAACCAAACAAGUGAAG
rnacentral:lncRNA from 1 species